rnacentral:rRNA from 1 species
AUUGAACGCUGGCGGCAGGCCUAACACAUGCAAGUCGAGCGAGCCGCGCACGUGUGAGUAAUGUAUGGAGCUCUCCCUUAUGGAGGGGGAUAACUACUGGAAACGGUAGCUAAUACCGCAUACCAUCAGCUGAUCCCAUAAUGGAGUAGCUUGUAGGUAAGUUAACGGCUUACCUAGGCGACGAUCCCUAGCUGAUAUGAGAGGAUGAUCGGCCACACUGGAACUGAGACACGGCCCAGACUCCUACGGGAGGCAGCAGUGGGGAAUCUUGCACAAUGGGCGAAAGCCUGACGCAGCCAUGCCGCGUGUAUGAAGAAGGCCUUCGGGUUGUAAAGUACUUUCAGUCGGGAAGCGGUACCGACUCAGGAAGCACCGGCUAACUCCGUGCCAGCAGCCGCGGUAAUAC